rnacentral:rRNA from 1 species
AGCGAACGUUAGCGGCAGGCCUAACACAUGCAAGUCGCACGAGAAUCCGGCUUCGGCCGGUAGUAAAGUGGCGGACGGGUGAGUAACACGUGGAUAAUCUGCCCUUCGGCGGGGGACAACAGUCCGAAAGGAUUGCUAAUACCGCGUAAGUCGGCGAGGUCUUCGGAUCUUGUCGGGAAAGAUGGCCUCUUCAUGAAAGCUAUCGCCGAAGGAUGAGUCCGCGUCCCAUCAGCAGUUGGCGGGGUAAUGGCCCACCAAGGCUUAGACGGGUAGCUGGUCUGAGAGGAUGAUCAGCCACACUGGAACUGAGACACGGUCCAGACUCCUACGGGAGGCAGCAGUGGGGAAUAUUGGGCAAUGGGCGCAAGCCUGACCCAGCCAUGCCGCGUGAGUGAAGAAGGCCU